GUUCCUACGAGGCCUGCUGGUCGUUCCUCUCUCUCCCAACACCUCACCGCUGCAGAGCGCCGACAGCUGAGCAACUGCUGUGGUCGCAGCAGAAAACAUGAUUGCCAACAGGGUCGCACAUGCAGACCAGAGCGUUAAAAGACUAUUCUCCUUGUUGUGGUCCAUGGAGGCUUACAUGUACUGUACCUUCCAGAGCAAUGUGGCCUGCUUGUGUUACAUACUUUUGUGGGCCGCCUCCCUAACAACUGGCAACAAAGGAGCCAUUGAGCAGAGGCAGCGACGAGGGGCUUUGAUGGGUAAUCUGCAUGCGUUUGUAGAGGGAAACUGGAGCUGGGUUAAAGGAAACAGAAACACACAGUGCAUUGAUUCAUGCCGUGCAGCCUCACUCUCUUCCUCACAGGUCAAACAUCAAAGUGGCGAUGUAAAAUGUACUCUGGGAACAGGAAGCGGUCCAGCUUGAUGCCGCACACCGCAGGUGUUACGGCUUUUGCCGUUGCAGGAACAGGUUUUUUGGAGAUCACGUUGCUCUGUCGGCACAGCUAAGGGGCCGAUUUGGAUGCCAAGGGUCCUGCACACGGACGCGGAUUAGCGUAGCCCGGCAUCGAACUGCCGAUCCUCUGAUUGAAGGACGCUCCGUCUCUCCCACUGAGCCUCAGCCGACUCAGCCGGCGUCUUCUCCCACAUCCAGCUGCAUCUGCCUGGCCUGCG
ensembl:lncRNA